UAGGGAAUCUUCCGCAAUGGGCGAAAGCCUGACGGAGCAACGCCGCGUGAGUGAUGAAGGUCUUCGGAUCGUAAAACUCUGUUAUUAGGGAAGAACAAAUGUGUAAGUAACUAUGCACGUCUUGACGGUACCUAAUCAGAAAGCCACGGCUAACUACGUGCCAGCAGCCGCGGUAAUACGUAGGUGGCAAGCGUUAUCCGGAAUUAUUGGGCGUAAAGCGCGCGUAGGCGGUUUUUUAAGUCUGAUGUGAAAGCCCACGGCUCAACCGUGGAGGGUCAUUGGAAACUGGAAAACUUGAGUGCAGAAGAGGAAAGUGGAAUUCCAUGUGUAGCGGGGAAAUGCGCAGAGAUAUGGAGGAAAACCAGUGGCGAAGGCGACUUUCUGGUCUGUACUGACGCUGAUGUGCGAAAGCGUGGGGAUCAAACAGG
rnacentral:rRNA from 1 species